rnacentral:snoRNA from 1 species
AACCCAUAGUGAGGGCACGUUCUCAAUAAGUCCUUAUACCUCUCUCAUGCAUCAUAUAAGGUUUCUAAGUCGAUUUGAACAAAGGAAGAGAUAUCAUUCCUCAACUU